AAACGACAUCGAAAGCUUGCUUUUGAUGGGCGUCGACCGGCGCACGGGUGAGUAACGCGUAUCCAACCUGCCCACCACUUGGGGAUAACCUUGCGAAAGUAAGACUAAUACCCAAUGAUAUCCCACGAAGGCAUCGGAAUGGGAUUAAAGAUUUAUCGGUGAUGGAUGGGGAUGCGUCUGAUUAGCUUGUUGGCGGGGUAACGGCCCACCAAGGCGACGAUCAGUAGGGGUUCUGAGAGGAUGAACGGCCACAUUGGAACUGAGACACGGUCCAAACUCC
rnacentral:rRNA from 1 species